ensembl:lincRNA
UUUUAAUCUCCUGCUGCGGGCGGCAGACAUGGGAGAGACAGACGAGCUGCAAAGGGAAGUCGAUGAAAUGAAAUUAAAGCCCUACAACUGUGUUCCUGUCAAUGUAGAUGGGGGUCCCCCCUCCUCGGUUUGCUCACAGAGGUGGGUGUGAGAACCUAUAGGAGUGUCUGGAAGAGAUCCUGUGGAAGUCAUUUUGCCCAGAGCUGGAGGAGAAGCAAAAGGCAAGUGUCAAGUCUCUGGAAGGCCCAGCUGUCGUGAUGUGGAUUCAUCAAGAGAAGGUUUGCCACACAUGUUGGGGAGCAGAGAGGUUCUUUCAGCACUCAAUAGGAGGGGAUUAUACAAGGUUUCUGCGCAUUCAGAUUUUCAUUAUAUGCCCAGCUCAUUUCUUUGGAUAGCAUGCGAAUAUGUGAAGGCCCACCAGGAAGGUCAUAGUAGGACGUGCCGUGCCUUGACCCGGAAGUGGAAUGCACAAAUUGUAACCAUCUGAGCAGCUACAGUGGGGAGGGCAUUUUAUAGUGGAUCUCACAUUUAUUUCAAUUAAGGUUUUUAUUGAAAGUUUAUUAUAGAAUUUAGUGAUUCCGAUUUCUACCUAAACUUAGUUACAAACCUAUAAACUUUAUGGACUUGCUCCUGAAUCUGGACUUACUCUGGAGGUCAGUUCUCAUGGUUCUCCAUGUGUACCCUGGGCUGGGAAACAGGUCAAUGGCUACAUUCCUUUAAGAGAGCAUCAGCCCAGAUGGCCGACCUCCACCUAUCUCUGCGAGUCCACAAAGCAAUUGUUUGUGACAACCAUAUACGAGUUUAUGCCAGAGUGGACCUCCCACAUCUGUAACUUACCACUUAACUGACAUCCACAUGUUGGUUCACCCACCAGGGUGUGACCACUGGAAGUGCAUACUCUUGUUUCCCCACAGGGCUGAGAUGGGCCCUGCACAGCUCACAGGGAGUGAAUAAACCUGGUAGAUAUGACUGCUAAUGCUUGAUCUUCAUUUUGAAAAUGAAGCUUCGUCUGAAAACAGCUGUUUGAAAACAGCUUCGUUUGUCAUGACUGACGGUGUAAAUGGUUGAAGGAACCCCAAUGUCUCGUGUGAUCACUCUCAUUCUCAGAAGGCAAAGUGUGGUAAAUCUAAGCAGUCUGCUCACUUGGAACUUUGACUUGUAUUUGUGCAACUCAUCUGAUGUUCUUGUAAAGAAAUAAGCCUUAAAAGUUUUUUUUAAAGUAACAAGGUAAAGUCUGAUUUCUAAAUCUAAGUUGCUGGCUCAGACUUUGUUGACAAGUAAAAUUAGUUUUUUGAGGAGAAAGUAGCUAAAAGACUCUAUUUGUGAUUAUUAAAAAUUAAAUUAUAUAUGAAGUGAUUCACCUUGGAAUCAAACUUUAUUCCCAGGUCAUCCAAACAACUCUCUAAAAUUGCCAAAGGAACCUGAUAAUACAAGUUCUUAGAGAGUGUCAUUUGGCAAGCUGACCAAUAAAUGAAAUGAAAUGUCAGGAGUUUAGAGCAGUAAUAAGGAUAUCCAUAUAUUUCAGAUUGUAUAAAAACUCACCAGGAACUUUCACUGGAUGGAAGCCAAAGCUAAGAAAGAACCGUGAUAUUAGGCAGCACGGUGUCUUAUAAACGACUGACUGACAAGAAACCAAGACCUGAAAUAAGAAGUUUCAGAUGUCCUUCAAG